rnacentral:tRNA from 1 species
UGUCAAGGGAUGGGAAUCGAACCCACAACCUUAAGCUUACCGGGCAGAUGCCAUGACCACUAGGCUACCCUUGAC